GUGGGGAAUUUUGGACAAUGGGCGCAAGCCUGAUCCAGCAAUGCCGCGUGCAGGAAGAAGGCCUUCGGGUUGUAAACUGCUUUUGUACGGAACGAAACGGUCCUGGCUAAUAUCCGGGGCUAAUGACGGUACCGUAAGAAUAAGCACCGGCUAACUACGUGCCAGCAGCCGCGGUAAUACGUAGGGUGCGAGCGGUAAUCGGAAUUACUGGGCGUAAAGCGUGCGCAGGCGGUGCUGUAAGACAGGCGUGAAAUCCCCGGGCUCAACCUGGGAAUUGCGCUUGUGACUGCAAGGCUGGAGUGCGGCAGAGGGGGAUGGAAUUCCGCGUGUAGCAGUGAAAUGCGUAGAUAUGUGGAGGAACACCGAUGGCGAAGGCAAUCCCCUGGGCCUGCACUGACGCUCAUGCACGAAAGCGUGGGGAGCAAACAGGAUUAGAAACCCGGGUAGUCC
rnacentral:rRNA from 1 species